AGAAAAAAGAGCGAAAGAAGAGAGAGAAGAACAAAAGGAGAGAAGUAGAGAGGACGGAGAAAGACUGAGUAAAAGCGCAGCUGCUUCCUCUUCUUCUUGUCAUACCUCACCUUCUUCUCUUUCUCCUUCUUCAAUUGCUUACCCAAAAAGUGUUGUAUUUU
rnacentral:ribozyme from 13 species